rnacentral:rRNA from 1 species
GACACCUUAAUCCAACAUCGAGGUCGCAAACCCUUCUUUCAAUGUGAACUCUCCAGAAAGAUUACGCUGUUAUCCCUGUGGUAACUUUUUCCGAUAAUCAGCAAUGCUGGAUCACUUGUUAGUAAACCAAAAUUCUACAAAUUAACAGAGAAGCUUUUCAUGUUCCCUAGUCACCCCAACUAAAGAUGUAAGAAUAAAUUUAAAAUCCUCUAUUCUAAUAGAAACAACCCCUUUAUUCCACACUAAAGCUCAACAGGGUCUUCUCGUCCCUCAGCUAAAUCUAAGCCUUUUCACUUAGAAGUUAAUUUUUAAAUAUUCCAGGAGAGACAGCUCAGCCCUCGUCAAACCAUUCAUACCAGCCUCCAAUUAAAAGGCAAAUGAUUGUGCUACCUUUGCACGGUCAGUGUACCGCGGCCGUUU